UACGAAGGGUGCAAACGUUGCUCGGAAUCAUUGGGCGUAAAGCGCACGUAGGCGGCCCUGUAAGUCGGAUGUGAAAUCCCUCGGCUCAACUGAGGACGUGCAUCCGAAACUGCAGAGCUCGAGUAUGGAAGAGGGUCGCGGAAUUCCCGGUGUAGAGGUGAAAUUCGUAGAUAUCGGGAGGAACACCAGUGGCGAAGGCGGCGACCUGGGCCAAUACUGACGCUGAGGUGCGAAAGCGUGGGGAGCAAACAGGG
rnacentral:rRNA from 1 species